CCUGGUGGCUCAGAAGGUAAAGCAUCUGCCUAUAGUGCAGGAGACCUGGGUUCGAUCCCUGGGUCAGGA
rnacentral:tRNA from 1 species